CAGCAGCCGCGGGAAUACGGAGGGUGCGAGCGUUAAUCGGAUUUACUGGGCGUAAAGCGUGCGUAGGCGGCUAAUUGAGUCGGAUGUGAAAUCCCCGAGCUUAACUUGGGAAUUGCAUUCGAUACUGGUUAGCUAGAGUGUGGGAGAGGAUGAUAGAAUUCCAGGUGUAGCGGUGAAAUGCGUAGAGAUCUGGAGGAAUACCGAUGGCGAAGGCAGCCAUCUGGCCUAACACUGACGCUGAGGUACGAAAGCAUGGGGAGCAAACAGGAUUAGAGACCCGAGUAGUCCCUGUCUCUUAUAC
rnacentral:rRNA from 1 species